rnacentral:rRNA from 1 species
UGCCCUAGUAACGGCGAGUGAAGCGGCAAGAGCUCAGAUUUGAAAUCUGGCGCCUUCGGCGUCCGAGUUGUAAUCUGUAGAGGAUGCUAUUGGGUAGCCACCGGUCUAAGUCCCCUGGAACGGGGCGUCGCAGAGGGUGAGAAUCCCGUAUGUGACCGGAAGGGCGCCCUCCACAUAGCUCCUUCGACGAGUCGAGUUGUUUGGGAAUGCAGCUCUAAAUGGGAGGUAAAUUCCUUCUAAAGCUAAAUACCGGCCAGAGACCGAUAGCGCACAAGUAGAGUGAUCGAAAGAUGAAAAGCACUUUGGAAAGAGAGUUAAAAAGCACGUGAAAUUGUUGAAAGGGAAGCGCUUGCAACCAGACUUGUUGGCGGUGUUCCGCCGGUCUUCUGACCGGUGUACUCACCGUCUGCAGGCCAGCAUCAUCUGGGGCCGCCGGAUAAAAGCGGGGGGAAUGUGGCUCCCUCGGGAGUGUUAUAGCCCCUCGUGCAAUACGGCGUGCCUCGGGUGAGGUCCGCGCUUCGGCUAGGAUGCUGGCGUAAUGGUCGUAAGCGGCCCGUCUUGAA